UACGUAGGGGGCAAGCGUUGUCCGGAAUUAUUGGGCGUAAAGAGCGCGUAGGCGGUCCGGUAAGUCGGCUGUGAAAGUCAAGGGCUCAACCCUUGAAAGCCGGCCGAUACUGUCGGACUAGAGUCCGGAAGAGGCGAGUGGAAUUCCCGGUGUAGCGGUGAAAUGCGCAGAUAUCAGGAAGAACACCCGUGGCUAAGGCGGCUCUCUAGUACGGUACUGACGCUGAGACGCGAAAGCGUGGGGAGCGAACAGG
rnacentral:rRNA from 1 species